GGCAGUGUAGUAUAAUGGGUAAGGAGCUGGUCUUGUAACCUAAAGGUCUCAGGUUCGAUUCCUGAGUAGAACAUUGCUG
rnacentral:tRNA from 1 species